AGUGAACGCUGGCGGCGUGCUUAACACAUGCAAGUCGAACGAGAACGGAUUAUAGCUUGCUAUAAUUGUCAGCUAAGUGGCGCACGGGUGAGUAAUGUAUAGGUAAUAUGCCUCUUACUAAGGGAUAACAAAUGGAAACGUUUGCUAAUACCUUAUACUCCUUAUUAACAGAAGUUAAUAAGGGAAAGAUUUAUUGGUAAGAGAUUAGCCUGUAUUGUAUCAGUUAGUUGGUGGGGUAAUGGCUUACCAAGACUAUGACACAUAACUGGUUUGAGAGGAUGAUCAGUCACACUGGAACUGAGACACGGUCCAGACUCCUACGGGAGGCAGCAGUGGGGAACAUUGCACAAUGGACGAAAGUCUGAUGCAGCAACGCCGCGUGGAGGAUGACACAUUUCGGUGCGUAAACUCCUUUUAUAUGAGAAGAUAAUGACGGUAUUAUAUGAGUAAGCACCGGCUAACUCCGUGCCAGCCGCCGCCGUAA
rnacentral:rRNA from 1 species